UGCCCAGCAACUCCUCUCCCUACCUCCUCGCGGUACUGGCCGGGGUACGAGUAACCUUAGGGAAGAUCGGGUAACCAACCCCCGGUGGGAACUUUGGUCGUAUACGGACAGGGAAGG
rnacentral:ribozyme from 1 species